ACUCAAAUGAAUUGACGGGGGCCCGCACAAGCAGCGGAGCGUGUGGUUUAAUUCGACGCAACGCGAAGAACCUUACCAGGAUUUGACAUGGUGGUGUAAGCCGGUGAAAGUCGGCCCCUCCGCAAGGAGCGCCAUCACAGAUGCUGCAUGGCUGUCGUCAGCUCGUGCCGUGAGGUGUUGGGUUAAGUCCCGCAACGAGCGCAACCCUCGGGGUUAGUUACUGUGUCUAACCCGACUGCCGCGACAAACGCGGAGGAAGGUGGGGAUGAUGUCAAGUCAGCACGGCUCUUACAUCCUGGGCUACACACACGCUACAAUGGACGCGACAGAGGGCUUGCCAAGCCGCAAGGCGGAGCGAAUCCCACCAAAGGCGUCCUCAGUUCAGAUCGGCGUCUGCAACCCGACGCCGUGAAGGCGGAGUUGCUAGUAACCGCAGGUCAGCACACUGCGGUGAAUACGUUCCCGGGCCUUGUACACACCGCCCGU
rnacentral:rRNA from 1 species